rnacentral:rRNA from 1 species
AGAGUUUGAUCCUGGCUCAGGACGAACGCUGGCGGCGUGCCUAAUACAUGCAAGUCGAGCGGUUUUCACCUUCGGGUGAGAGUAGCGGCGGACGGGUGAGUAACACGUAGGUAACCUGCCUGACAGACUGGGAUAACUACCGGAAACGGUAGCUAAGACCGGAUACGCUUAUGAGGGGGCAUCCUCUUGUAAGGAAAAGCGGAGCAAUCUGCUGCUGAUGGAUGGACCUGCGGCGCAUUAGCUAGUUGGUGGGGUAGUGGCUCACCAAGGCGACGAUGCGUAGCCGACCUGAGAGGGUGAACGGCCACACUGGGACUGAGACACGGCCCAGACUCCUACGGGAGGCAGCAGUAGGGAAUCUUCGGCAAUGGACGAAAGUCUGACCGAGCAACGCCGCGUGAGUGAAGAAGGUUUUCGGAUCGUAAAACUCUGUUGCCAGGGAAGAAUGAUUGGGAGAGUAACUGCUCUUGAUAUGACGGUACCUGAGAAGAAAGCCCCGGCUAACUACGUGCCAGCAGCCGCGGUAAUUC